CUUGGCCCCGAUGGGAUGGUCCCGGCCCGGUCCGGCCUGCGGCGCCUCUGCCUGGAGCUGCGGGCCCGGGCCCUCCCGCCUCCCCGGGCCUCCUCUCGCCUCCACCCUGGGACCCCCGCACCCCCCGGGCCCGGCUCAGAGCCCCCGGACAUGGCGUCUGCACCCAACGCAGGAAGAUGUUCCAGUUCAGAAAAUCAAGGGAAAAGUAAAAAGGAACAUGCUCUUCAUGACAUUCGCUACCUGAUGGAAGAAAUGCCAUUUGGUGAUUCGGAGGCUGAAGAAGAAUUCGAAAUAUCCAAAGAAUUUGAAGUCUUCUUGAAGAAAAGGGAGGAAACUUCUGAGGACAAGAAAGAAGACAAACCAACUACAAAGAAGAAGAAAAAGAAAAAGACUCAACCAAAUUAUUUCCUCUCUAUUCCAAUAACCAACCAAGAGAUUACAAAAAACAUUCAGACUCUUCAAGCUUCAAUAAUACAGCAGGAUGCAAGACUCUCCAAAGCGAUGUGUAAACACAGUACCUUCCAUGUCACCUUGUUAGUGAUGAAAUUAUCAAGUGAAGAGCAAGUUAACAUAGCAGUCGGUGCAUUCUUGGAGACUAAAGCACUCAUAGAAGAAAUUCUACAAGGAAAGCCUUUAGAUUUAUCCUUUCAAGGAGUUGGUAAUUUUAGGAAUCAGGUGGGAUUUGUGAAGUUGGCCAAAGGUGAUCAGCUAUCUACACUUAUGGAAAUUGAAGAGACGGUGAAGAGGACAUUUCAAGAAAAGGGCAUAUUGGCAGGAGAAAACAGAAGUUUUACACCCCAUCUGACCUACAUGAAAAUGACCAGUAAUGUUGCAGGGCUACUUAAACAGGGAGUGAAAAAAAUCAACCCUGAGUUCUACAGAGCAUUUGAAAGUCAUCAUUUUGGUGAGGAAACCCUGCAUCGCAUUGAUCUUUGCUCCAUGCAAAAGGAGAAACAAGCCAAUGGCUAUUACCACUGUGAGUCUUCAAUUACGGUUGGGAAGAAUCCCAAUGUAGAUUUAAUUGAGAAAGCUUUGCGAAGAGAAACAACGGCCCUGUUUUCCAAAGUGAAACAGAUAAAGGAACUUUUAUCACAGCCAGAGAUCCGGGCAAAAAUCAAGAGAGAAAUGUUGGAUGCAAGACUCAGCAACAACAGUAAUCAAGAAGCUCCCAUUGAUUUUAGUUCUGCACCCAUAUAAUUUGUAAAUUGCUAUAAUGGUAACAAAUUUCAAAAAAUCUUUCUAACCUAUAUAACAGCUCUCUGGUAAACAUUCCAAAUCACUAUCAUUUUCAUGGAAACAUUAAUAGAACCCAAAAAGUUAUGUUUUGUUGGGUUUUUUCAUCGAUCACCACAGGGUCGAUAUUGUUUAUCUCAGAAUAUUGAGAAUUUGGGCCCAGAAAUGCUAAAACUGCCAGUGUAUGUGUAUUUCUCACCCAUCUGGUAAAACGUUUGGACUAUUCUAUAAUUCUGUUAGGAUAACUAUGUUUUUGUUUGCAGAAGCUAGUUCCCUUGCCGAAACUAGGCAUAUACUUUCAUGAGGGGUACUUAGGUCGUGUCUACACAAGAGCAAAAGGAAUUUGAGAAAGAAUUAAGCAGUCUUAUCAUGGGAAUCUGCUUCCCUUUCCAAACAUUUCCACACAACCUUUGCUAUAUUGUGGGGAAUUUUCCAGAGUGAAGCCACCUUACUGUCUGCUCUUCUCAUUUGGUUCGACUCCUUGAAAAACAGACAGUGCGGAGUAGGAAAACACCAACAGUAGUGUUUGGAAACGAUCACCUCGAGUCAGCCUCAGUCUUUCUGGAAUACAAUCCUGUUGAAAAUGUGAUGUUAUUUUCAUUUGGCAGUGUCUGUUUGGCAUGUAUUCCUGUCUGAAUUUACCUUUAAAAAUGCAGUUGUCGUAGCUGGUUGAGUUGAAUACAUAUUGUUUGCUGAUCAAAAUAAAAACAUUGGUGUGUGUUGCUCAGUGAUCAAAAUGAAGCCUGCUGUGUAAUUAAUUUUCUCAGAUUCUUAUUUUCUACAUUUCUGCAGAGGCGGCCUAGUUUUUGGUCAUUGUAAGCUGUUGGCAACAGGUUUUGUAUUUGACAACAUCAUGUAAAAUUACUUGGCAUGUUUCAGGUCAGACCCCGAAGACCCCCACUUAGAAGGCUGUGUAAGUUUGUGUGGUUUGGGCAGCACAACAGGAAAUAUUGAUUUUAUUGCAACCAUAUGAUAGCUCAUGGAUCCUUACGAUUGUUAAAGGAUAGCUGACUGUAUGUUUAUUUAUGAAUGCAUUUUAUGCAUUUUCAUUUAAUCUUAAUAAAGAUGUGGUUUUCCCUUC